CAAGUGUAAUUCAGAAAUGUUGUGUCUUUUAUUCACCAUCAUGUGUUUCCAGACCUGCAAGAAUUAUUUUAUUCUGUGGAGCACAAAACAAGAUGUCUUGAAAAACUUUUUGUUGUUGUUGUUGUCAAUACAGUGGUAGUCAAUGGGAUCCAAAGUUCACGAAAAUAUAUAUUUUGGUUUUCUACAGAAGAAAGAAAAAGUCAUAUACGUUUGGAAGGACAUAAUGUAAAUGAUGACAUCAUUUUCAUUUUUGGGUGAACUAUCCCUUUAAGUGGAAGAUAUUAUACAAAUAAUAAUAAUAAUAAAUGCAUUCAGUUCCAUCCUGCAGUUAUAUCACAGUCUCCGCCUCAUUAAUGCAUGAUAUUUAAAUAAAAGCCAAAGCUCACCUCUGGCAUUCACGCGAGCAUCCAUCUAGAGAAUCGACAGACAGAGAAGGAUCAACACUCACAAACGCGAAGGACCUGAAUAUGGCUUCUAAAACCCAAAUACUACUACUGCUAGUUGCUGUAAUGGUUGCAAGCUAUGGCCUUACCAGCGGCACAAACAGCAACACAACCAGCACCACAACCAGCACCACAACCAGCGGCACAACCAGCAACCCCACAACUUAUAAUUCUACUGCAGCAUCUCUUUCACCUAUUGGGAUCGUGGGGCUGCCUGGACUUCUGAUCUACACGAUCAUCUCCACUGCGGCUCUCAAACUCUUCCACCUGAUCUGAACAUCAGCUCUCUCAGUUUGUCAACCAGCUAAACCUACAGGAUGCACCUGUGACAGUGACUGCACAAGUUUCUAGCACUUUUAUGUCAGCCUAUAUAUAUAUAUAUAUAUUUAUGAUUGUAUGUAGACUUCAUUUAAGAAUAAUGAAGAAUAAUAAAAUAUAAAGAAUAAAGCCAACACACUUUUAUUGACUUUGA